UUAAGCGACUAAGCGUACACGGUGGAUGCCCUGGCAGUCAGAGGCGAUGAAGGGCGUGCUAAUCUGCGAUAAGCGCCGGUAAGGUGAUAUGAACCGUUAUAACCGGCGAUACCCGAAUGGGGAAACCCAGUGUGAUUCGUCACACUAUCAUUAACUGAAUCCAUAGGUUAAUGAGGCGAACCGGGGGAACUGAAACAUCUAAGUACCCCGAGGAAAAGAAAUCAACCGAGAUUCCCCCAGUAGCGGCGAGCGAACGGGGAGGAGCCCAGAGCCUGAAUCAGCAUGUGUGUUAGUGGAAGCGUCUGGAAAGGUGCGCGAUACAGGGUGACAGCCCCGUACACAAAAGCGCAUGUGCUGUGAGCUCGAUGAGUAGGGCGGGACACGUGGUAUCCUGUCUGAAUAUGGGGGGACCAUCCUCCAAGGCUAAAUACUCCUGACUGACCGAUAGUGAACCAGUACCGUGAGGGAAAGGCGAAAAGAACCCCGGCGAGGGGAGUGAAAAAGAACCUGAAACCGUGUACGUACAAGCAGUGGGAGCACAGGUUUACCUGUGUGACUGCGUACCUUUUGUAUAAUGGGUCAGCGACUUAUAUUCUGUAGCAAGGUUAACCGUAUAGGGGAGCCGUAGGGAAACCGAGUCUUAACCGGGCGUUAAGUUGCAGGGUAUAGACCCGAAACCCGGUGAUCUAGCCAUGGGCAGGUUGAAGGUUGGGUAACACUAACUGGAGGACCGAACCGACUAAUGUUGAAAAAUUAGCGGAUGACCUGUGGCUGGGGGUGAAAGGCCAAUCAAACCGGGAGAUAGCUGGUUCUCCCCGAAAGCUAUUUAGGUAGCGCCUCGUGAAUUCAUCUCCGGGGGUAGAGCACUGUUUCGGCUAGGGGGCCAUCCCGGCUUACCAACCCGAUGCAAACUGCGAAUACCGGAGAAUGUUAUCACGGGAGACACACGGCGGGUGCUAACGUCCGUCGUGAAGAGGGAAACAACCCAGACCGCCAGCUAAGGUCCCAAAGUCAUGGUUAAGUGGGAAACGAUGUGGGAAGGCCCAGACAGCCAGGAUGUUGGCUUAGAAGCAGCCAUCAUUUAAAGAAAGCGUAAUAGCUCACUGGUCGAGUCGGCCUGCGCGGAAGAUGUAACGGGGCUAAACCAUGCACCGAAGCUGCGGCAGCGAACGUAUCACCCAAGACAACUUUACGGAGUUGACGAUUGACGGAGCGAAGCGACGUCAAAGCGUUCAUUAAAGUCGAGUUGGCUUAGGGAUACGUUCGUUGGGUAGGGGAGCGUUCUGUAAGCCUGUGAAGGUGUGUCGUGAGGCAUGCUGGAGGUAUCAGAAGUGCGAAUGCUGACAUAAGUAACGAUAAAGCGGGUGAAAAGCCCGCUCGCCGGAAGACCAAGGGUUCCUGUCCAACGUUAAUCGGGGCAGGGUGAGUCGACCCCUAAGGCGAGGCCGAAAGGCGUAGUCGAUGGGAAACGGGUUAAUAUUCCCGUACUUGGUGUUACUGCGAAGGGGGGACGGAGAAGGCUAUGUUGGCCGGGCGACGGUUGUCCCGGUUUAAGCGUGUAGGUGUGUGUUCCAGGUAAAUCCGGUUCACUUUAACACUGAGGCGUGACGACGAGGCACUACGGUGCUGAAGCAACAAAUGCCCUGCUUCCAGGAAAAGCCUCUAAGCAUCAGGUAACACGAAAUCGUACCCCAAACCGACACAGGUGGUCAGGUAGAGAAUACCAAGGCGCUUGAGAGAACUCGGGUGAAGGAACUAGGCAAAAUGGUGCCGUAACUUCGGGAGAAGGCACGCUGACACGUAGGUGAAGUGAUUUACUCAUGGAGCUGAAGUCAGUCGAAGAUACCAGCUGGCUGCAACUGUUUAUUAAAAACACAGCACUGUGCAAACACGAAAGUGGACGUAUACGGUGUGACGCCUGCCCGGUGCCGGAAGGUUAAUUGAUGGGGUCAGCGUAAGCGAAGCUCCUGAUCGAAGCCCCGGUAAACGGCGGCCGUAACUAUAACGGUCCUAAGGUAGCGAAAUUCCUUGUCGGGUAAGUUCCGACCUGCACGAAUGGCGUAAUGAUGGCCAGGCUGUCUCCACCCGAGACUCAGUGAAAUUGAACUCGCUGUGAAGAUGCAGUGUACCCGCGGCAAGACGGAAAGACCCCGUGAACCUUUACUAUAGCUUGACACUGAACAUUGAGCCUUGAUGUGUAGGAUAGGUGGGAGGCUUUGAAGUGUGGACGCCAGUCUGCAUGGAGCCGACCUUGAAAUACCACCCUUUAAUGUUUGAUGUUCUAACGUGGACCCGUAAUCCGGGUUGCGGACAGUGUCUGGUGGGUAGUUUGACUGGGGCGGUCUCCUCCUAAAGAGUAACGGAGGAGCACGAAGGUUGGCUAAUCCUGGUCGGACAUCAGGAGGUUAGUGCAAUGGCAUAAGCCAGCUUGACUGCGAGCGUGACGGCGCGAGCAGGUGCGAAAGCAGGUCAUAGUGAUCCGGUGGUUCUGAAUGGAAGGGCCAUCGCUCAACGGAUAAAAGGUACUCCGGGGAUAACAGGCUGAUACCGCCCAAGAGUUCAUAUCGACGGCGGUGUUUGGCACCUCGAUGUCGGCUCAUCACAUCCUGGGGCUGAAGUAGGUCCCAAGGGUAUGGCUGUUCGCCAUUUAAAGUGGUACGCGAGCUGGGUUUAGAACGUCGUGAGACAGUUCGGUCCCUAUCUGCCGUGGGCGCUGGAGAACUGAGGGGGGCUGCUCCUAGUACGAGAGGACCGGAGUGGACGCAUCACUGGUGUUCGGGUUGUCAUGCCAAUGGCACUGCCCGGUAGCUAAAUGCGGAAGAGAUAAGUGCUGAAAGCAUCUAAGCACGAAACUUGCCCCGAGAUGAGUUCUCCCUGAGACUUAGAGUCUCCUGAAGGAACGUUGAAGACGACGACGUUGAUAGGCCGGGUGUGUAAGCGCAGCGAUGCGUUGAGCUAACCGGUACUAAUGAACCGUGAGGCUUAACCU
rnacentral:rRNA from 2 species